UGAUUAUUAUUGAAAUCGUUUUCCCUAUUGGCCUGAUUUUUCAAAAUGAUGGGGACGAUGAAUAAGCUCUCUCUGAUAUUU